UGGGACUCUGUAAGUUGUUGCAGCAUCAGGCUCUUCACGCUCUCUCUUUUCCCCGACAGUUAAAGAAAGAAAGAAAAUACUUUGUGUGGAAAUUUCCUGCACGGAUCGUCAGGCUUGGGGAAGGACAGCGAACUUAAUUUUCAGCGGAAUAGCUUUCAAAAGCGCGAAAGACUAUAUAAAGGUGUAUUUAGAGCUCUAAAAUGGUCUGGAAAGGAAUGUCUCAACAAGGAUCUUCUCCCACCCUGGAUCCACAAGAUGAGCAAAGCUGGCUGCUGCUUUAGAUUUUUUACAUUUUUCUGCUGCCUUGGAUCCAACACAGCUGUUCCACUGAUGGUGGUAGUUUUCGCUGGUGAAAACAGGAAGACUCUGUAUGCUGGAAGAAAGUGUCACCAUUAGCAAAAUGGAUCUGCAAGAUCUGUAACCUGAACUCCCAGGCCAGCUGGUAGAUUCUCAAGCACAAAAAUCAUAGGAAUGAUAAAACCCACAAAACAAUCAAAACCCAUACUGAAACAUUAAAAUAUUAGCAAUAUGGGUAAAUGUAUUGCAUACGAUAACACAACACAAGAAACCUGACAAGAUGGGAAAGCUUUUACAACAAUAGAUAGGAAAUUUUGACUCAAAUGUAUAAAAGAAUGAAAAUUUGUA